UGCGUAGGCGGGCUAAUAAGUCAGUGGUGAAAUCUUUCGGCUCAACCGAGAAACUGCCAUUGAUACUGUUAGUCUUGGGUUCGGUUGAGGUAGGCGGAAUGUGUAAUGUAGCGGUGAAAUGCUUAGAUAUUACACAGAACACCAAUUGCGUAGGCAGCUUACUAGACCGACACUGACGCUGAGGCACGAAAGCGUGGGGAGCGAACAGGAUUAGAUACCCUGGUAGUCC
rnacentral:rRNA from 1 species